GAUGAACGCUGGCGGCGUGCCUAAUACAUGCAAGUCGAACGGGGUGCUAGCAAUAGUACUUAGUGGCGAACGGGUGAGUAACGCGUUGGUGACCUGCCCCGAAGAGGGGGAUAACAGUUCGAAAGGACUGCUAAUACCCCAUGAUAUCUCAGUGGUUAGAGUAGUGAGAUGAAAGGAGCAAUCCGCUUUGGGAGGGGCCUGCGUCCCAUCAGCUAGUUGGUAGGGUAAAAGCCUACCAAGGCGAAGACGGGUAGGGGGCCUGAGAGGGUGAUCCCCCACACUGGCACUGAAACACGGGCCGGACACCUACGGGUGGCAGCAGUAGGGAAUAUUGCACAAUGGGCGAAAGCCUGAUGCAGCAGCGCGGCGUGCGCGAAGAAGGCCUUCGGGUUGUAAAGCGCUUUUCGGGGAGAUGAGGAAGGACAGUAUCCCCGGAAUAAGGCUCGGCUAACUACGUGCCAGCCGCCGCAGUAACAC
rnacentral:rRNA from 1 species